AUAUAUUUUAAUAUAUUAACUAAAAACACACACACAUCGUCACAUACGUUUGGGUGCAUUGUUACAUUAACAAUGUUAGCGCUAUGGGAUGUGUGGAGGCUUAACC
rnacentral:sRNA from 1 species